rnacentral:rRNA from 1 species
AGUGAACGCUGGCGGCAGGCCUAACACAUGCAAGUCGAGCGGCAGCGCGUCCGACCACCCUCGGGUGGUCGGAUGGCGGCGAGCGGCGGACGGGUGAGGAAUGCAUCGGAAUCUGCCUCGUUGUGGGGGAUAACGUAGGGAAACUUACGCUAAUACCGCAUACGACCUACGGGUGAAAGUGGGGGACCUUCGGGCCUCACGCGAUGAGAUGAGCCGAUGCCGGAUUAGCUAGUUGGCGGGGUAAAGGCCCACCAAGGCGACGAUCCGUAGCUGGUCUGAGAGGAUGAUCAGCCACACUGGAACUGAGACACGGUCCAGACUCCUACGGGAGGCAGCAGUGGGGAAUAUUGGACAAUGGGGGCGAACCCUGAUCGUGCGACGCCGCGUGCAGGACGAAGGUCUUCGGAUCGUAAACUGCUUUCGCAAGGGAAGAAAGGCGAACUGAUUAAGAGUUGGUUUGUCAGACGGUACCUUGUAAAGAAGCUCCGGCUAAGUCCGUGCCAG